UAGGGAAUCUUCCGCAAUGGACGCAAGUCUGACGGAGCAACGCCGCGUGAGUGAUGAAGGAUUUCGGUUCGUAAAACUCUGUUGUUAGAGAAGAACAGCGCAUAGAGUAACUGUUAUGCGUGCGACGGUAUCUAACCAGAAAGCCACGGCUAACUACGUGCCAGCAGCCGCGGCAAUACGUAGGUGGCAAGCGUUGUCCGGAUUUAUUGGGCGUAAAGCGAGCGCAGGCGGUCAAAUAAGUCUGAUAUGAGAGCCUCCGGCUCAACCGGGGCGGGUCAUUGGAAACUGGUUGACUUGAGUGCAGAAGAGGAGAGUAAAAUUCCAUGUGGAGCGGUGAAAUGCGUAGAUAUGUGGAGGAACACCAGUGGCGAAGGCGACUCUCUGGUCUGUAACUGACGCUGAGGCUCGAAAGCGUGGGUAGCAAGCAGG
rnacentral:rRNA from 1 species